rnacentral:lncRNA from 1 species
UACGCGCACAACUCUUCUGACCCAUAGAGAAAGCAACAACCCAUAGACAUUGAUUCACAAAAGUACAAAGGAAAACAUAAAAAUCCUAUGGUUUUGAAAACCCACUUUCACUAAAAUGUACUUCCAGAAGCAAAAAAUUCACCCAAAGCAAAAAAUAUCACCCAAAAUUAGGUACUAGACGAAUAGAUAGAACGGAAUCGGAAGAAAAAAAUUACAACUCGAAUGUGUUUCACUUUUGCAUUCUCAUCAGUUGGCUAUGGAGUUAUGGAAAGUGUACUCUGU